AACCAUAAGAGACUCUUAAAUACAGAGAACAAACUGAGGGUUACUGGGGGGGUUGGGAUAGGGGGUAGGGGAAAAUGUGUGGUGGGCAUUGAGGAGAGCACUUAGGAUGAGCACUAGGUGUUGUAUGUAAGCGAUGAAUCAUGGGAAUCUACUCCUUAAGCCAAGAGCACACGGUGUGUUAGCUAACUUGACAAUAAAUUAUAUUAAAAGAAUAACCAAAACUAUAUGGUAUUGAUAGAGGUAUGGACACAUAGAUCAAUGGAACAGAAUAAAGAAUCCAGAAGUAGACCACACAAAUAUGCCCAACUUAUGGUGCAAAAACAAUUCAAUGAAGGAAAGAUAUUCUUUCUAAAAAAUGUUUAUUUUGAGAGAGAGAAAGAGUGGGGGGGGGGUGCGCAGAGAGAGAGGGAGAGAGAGAAUCCUAAGCAGGCCCCAGGCUCAGUGCAGAGCCUGACAUGGGACUAGAUCUCAUAACCAUGAGAUCAUGACCUGAGCUGAAAUCAAGAGUCAGAUGUUUAACCGACUGAACCACCCAGGCACACUGGAAAGAUAGUCUUUUCAACAAAUGAUGGUAGAGCAAGUGGGUAUCCAUACGUUAAAGAAUAAAAACAAAAACAAAAAAAGAACCUUGAACUAAGUCUCACACCUUAUACAAAGAUUAAUUCAAAAUGAAUUAUAGACUCAAGUGUAAAAUAUAAAAUUAUAAAACAUUUAGAAAAGAACAUAGGAGGAAAUUGUCAGGAUCUAGGACUAAGCAAAGAGUUCUUAGACUUGACACCAAAAGUAUGAUCCAUACAAGGAAAAAUUGAUAAAUUGGACUCUAUAAAAAUUUAAGAUUUUAGCUCUGUGAAAGACUCUGUUAAGAAGAUGAAAAGACAAACUACAAACUGGGGUAAAAUAUUUGCAAACCACAUACCCAACAAAUGAUUAGUUUAUAGAACAUAUAAGGAACUCUUAAAACUCAACAGUAAAAACAAACAAGCAAUUCAAUUAGACAAUGGGGCUAAAAACAUGAAGAGAGACAUUUCACUGAAGAAGAUAUACAUAUGGCAAAUAAUCACAUGAAAAUAUAUUCAAAGUAAUGCAAAACCAGGGGCACCUGGGUGGCUCAGUUGGUGAAGUGUCCAACUCUUGAUCUCAGCUCAGGUCUUGAUCUCACAAUCAUGAGUUCAAGGCCUGCAUUAGGCUCUGUGUUGAGCUCCACACUGGGCAUGACGCCUACUUGAAAAAAAAAAAGUAAUGCAAAAACAAAACCAAAAUGAGAGAUCAUUAUAUAUGUCUCAAAAUGGCUUUUAAAAAAAAAGCAAUACCAAAUGCUGGCAAAGUGCAGAGAAAUGAUACAUAGCUGGUGGAAAUGUAAAAUGGUAUAGUCACUCUAGAAAAUAGUUUGGCAGUUACUUAAAAAAACUAAAUAUACACUUUUCAUAUGACCUGCCGCAAUUGUACAUGUAGGCAUAUAUCCCAGAGAAAUGAUAACUUAUAUCCACACAAUACCUGUACACCAUUGUUCAUAGCAGCUCUAUUCACAAUAACCCCAAACUGGAAACAAACCCAGAUGCCCUUCAAUGGGAGAAUGCUCUUCAAUGGGGAAAUAAUUGUGGUACAUACACACUAUAGAAUAAUACUUAGCAAUAAAAAGGAGUGAGCUACUGAUAUACACCACAACCUGGAUAACUCUCCAGAGAAUUAUGUUGAGUUAAAAAAAAAAAAAAAAAAGCCAAUCCCCAAAUCCCCAUAUAUACUCUAUGAUUCCAUUUAUAUAUUCUUGAAAUAAUGAGAUCAUUUAAUUGGAGAAAAGAUUGGUGGUUGCCAGGGGUUAAGGAAGGAGUGAGGGGCUGGAGGGAAAUGGGUAUGGCCAUAAAAGGGCAACAUGAAAGAUCCCUGUGGUGAUAGAAAUGUCUUAUAGCUUCCCUAUAUCAAUGCCAAUAUCCUGGUUGUGAUACUGUGCUAUAGUUUUGUAAGAUAUUAUCAUUGGUCAGAACUGGGUAAAGAGUAUUCUAUUAUUUCCUACAAUUGCAUGUGAAUUAUCUUAAAAUAAAAACGUUACUUUUUUAAAAGAGUUUUGUACAAGCUCUUUAUAGACCUCACCCUGGGAGAUGGAGCAUAGCUGAAAAUAUAUACAGAACACAGAAGGUCUUAAUAAAUGCACGUAUGACAAAUCCCUAAGAUCCUUGGGGUUCUUAUUGUCAGGGAGGGUAGCCAUGUCCCCUCUAACAUUCUUUGUGAUUCUGUCAAUACUGGGACCUGAAUAAGGGAGCCAUCAGGCAAAGCUGGAGGGCAAGUCCCAACUUUUUAUGUUGCAGAAAGAUUUGAAAGGAGUUGAGGGACAGAUGUGAGGAAGGACAGAGCAAGCUCAAGAGCCACCUCCUCCAGGUAGCCUCUGCACUGUUGUCCAAGUUAGGUAUCCCCUCCCUCUGCUCCAUUAACCUUCAUUAUAAUCUACUGUGAUCAACAACUUACUUUUCUGUCUUCCCUCUCUAUACUGUAUAUUUCUUGAGGGCUGAGAUCACCUCUCAACUUGCCUCUCCAUACCCUAAAUGUUUUGUUUUUAGAUUAAAACAAAUAAAAGACUAUCUACUCUAAUUUUUAGCUGUAGGGCCAAGACCUUCUUUUGUGUGGGGGUGUACUGAUUGGCAUAUCACCAGCAUCUCUCUUGCAUGAGCACCCAGAAUGCACUGAUUGCCUUUUUCAGUUUUGAUUUCUUUAACAUGGGUUGGAAACCGGAAAGUAUUUGAGAAGCUAUCUGAAUGCAGAAUGCUAGAUUUUUUAAUGAUUUUCCCCUUCUUUUUCAGUUGUCUCACUAAUACAUAAUUUGAUAAAAUUUUUAAGCAACUUGCUGUUACAGAAUCUUUCUAAACAGCAACAUUAGUUUAGUACUCAUAUUUUAUUGGUUUAUGUAACAUUUAGUUAAAUUAUAUAAUAAGAAUAAUAUGCACAGCUGGCAUAAACAGGCUGAGUUAAAAACAAAUGACUCUUGGUAAGCAUGCAAUUCAACCAAAUGGGGGAUCGCAAGUGCACUGCAUCCUAGCCAUGAAGGUUUGAUGAGCCAUGAGUAUAAGUCAGUAUGUUUUACAAAAGAAUUGAUGGUGUCACUUAAGCCAGUGAGCCAGGUAAGUACAGGUUGUUUAAAGUUCUAUUUUAAUAGUAUCAGUAAUAAUAACUAACACUUACUGAGUGCGUAAUAAGUGCCAGGCAUCGCACUAAAUGCUUCUAUACAUAUCUCAAUUAAUCAUUACCUGAAGAAAGUAUUAUCAUCCCCAUUUUAUAGAUAAGGAAACUGAAGCUCAAUGAAGUUCUUCCAAGUUCUCAUAGCAAUUAGGUAGUAGAGCUGCGUUUCUGUCCAAUUCCAAAAUCCAUGCCUUUAUACACUGUACUAUGUUAUUUCUAGUAUUUGUCUUGUGGAUGAACAAAGGAAUGCAGGCAAGUAUGCAGGGGACAGGGAAAGGCUGAGAGUUGGGAGACAUUUUCCUACAGUUGAGAAAAUGUCCCUUGAAGAGGAAAUGGCUCAUUCUUGGCAUUUUCUGAGGUGAGAGAGGUUCCUAAGGAGAGGGUUGGAUGUUCUUAGAGGGGUUGGUAGUGGGGAGGAGGCCCACAGAGAGUGAUGGGGGAAACCUAGACCUGGUACUGGAACAUGUAGGUCCUGUUUCCUGUAUCUGUUCCAGACUUCUGAACACCAUUAACAUUGACCUCCCUUUAAUUCAAUCCUGGCUCCUUUUCUUUCAGUUGAAUCUGGCUGGAAUCUUUAAACUUAAUUAUAAAAUGAAAGGAAAACAACAAAGCUACACUCUCAGUGCCUGAACUCAUGACCCCAAACAUACUAGCAGCUGAACCACAGACCAGCUUGGCUGCCAAGGCUCAUGGGCCAAAUACCUCCCCAUUUCAAUUUCUCACCUCAGUCCUGAGUGGAGCAUGAUGGACUCAGGCAGCACCAUGGCGGGAGCUGGGGGGCCUCAGGUCUUCCCCAAACCUCCUUCUUAGCCACCCUCUCUGAUCAUCUGUCCUCUGACCAGCUGUACACCUCUGUGCCUCAGAGCUGCCUAACUGCAGGGGUCCUGGUCUCCUGGUAAGGAAAACAGUCAAGGUCUGGCUCCCCCUAUGUUGGAUUUCAGUCCCUCCUCCCUCCUUGCUCCUAUCCAUCCCCAAUUCUCCUGCUUCCUGGGUGACUCUUAUCCUUAGAAGAAGAGGCCCUGCUCCCAUUCUCGGCCCCAUUUGCCCCUGCCCUGUUAAAUCCUGUUACCUGAAUCAUACCUACUGGCUGAGAUUUACGCUACUUUUCUUCCUCACUCAGGUUCCCAGCUGAUAUCUGGGUCUGGUCUCUCCUCUACCUCGUACCUUAGAGAAGGCACUAUGCUCCCUGGUGCUUCACUGUCUCCUGCUGGGUCCCUUCCAUAACCUGGAGCAGAUUCUUCACCUCCAGCAACUUGUUCUCUCUGCUUGGAAUGCUCUUCUAUCCUUUCUUAUGUGGCUACUUUUAAAAUUAUCCUCUGGAUCAUAGCUUAGAUGUCAUCUCCUCCAAGAAGCUCCUCCAAUCCCACAUCUGCUUUGGGAGCCUUCUCUCUGUGUUGGGUGCCUUUUUAGCUCUUAAAACACCAUACUGGAAUUGACUGUUUAUUUGUAUGUCUUCCACCCUGGGCUCUGAGCCCUGAGAACCUAUAUCUUGUUCACUGGUGUGUACUAGCACUUAACAGUAUUUGUCAUGUGGUAGGUGCCCAAUGAAUGUUGUUUAUUUAGCUUAUUAAUCAAUCAAUGAUUAAAUGCCUUCUGGUUUGAAAGCCUGACCUACUACCAAUCAACUUUCAUCUGCUGUAUGAUGAUAGUUUUGUCUCCCUGGUCAUGUAUGGGGCAGAAUGACUCUAGUAAAUGAGGUCACCUGGUCACCCACCUCCUCAGUGGACCCAUCUAGGUUCCCAGAAACCUUCUGGCCUCCUAUCUAUAGAUUUUCCAAUAUCAAAAAUACUAUAUAUGGACAAUGUAUUCUUAGUCAAGGUAGACUAAGUUUGUGGCUGUAACAACCCCCAUCCAGUGGUUUAAGGCAAGGAAGGUUUAUUUCUCCUUCAUACCGUGUGUGGAUCAUGGUUGGGCUGAGGGCUCUGCUUUGCACUGGCAUCUCUCAAGGACCCAAGCAUGGAUCUAAGAAGUCUUAUAGUUAGGAAAAAAAAGUUAAAAUCCUUUUAACCUGUUUAACCUGUUUCUCAAAUUAUUUGACCCUAAAAUCCUUUCUGUUGUAUAACACCUAUUUCUAUCCUAUGGACAACCCCAUGUUCAGAAACGCCAGUCUAAAGGAGUUGAAGCAUAACAGAUUUCUGUGGACAUCUAAUCAGUGAUAAAAUGAGUAAAGCAGUCUCUGCUCGCAUUUAUUGAUAUUUAAAAUGUGUUCAAAUAUCUGUGGAGGCUUUACUUUGUGCCAAGUGUAGUGCUCUUCCAGGUGCUGGGGAUACAGGACUUGUGAAAUGUAUAUGGUCUUUGCUCUCAUCAAGCUUCCCUUCCAAUGGGAAAGACACAUAUUCAAUCACUAAUGGCCACCCUCACUAUGCACGUAAAGUAAAUGUGUUCCAAAGUGCUGUGGAAGAAAGGCACAGGGUAUGCAAUGAGAGUGUGUAAUAGAACGACCUUGCCUAGUCAUGUAAGGCUGCCCCAAGGAAAUUUAUCUGCCAUUUAACAGGAUGAACAGUUAGUUAGGCAAAGUGGGGGUGGGGAGUAGAGGUUGUGGGUAAAGGUGAGAAAUAUAUCAGGCAGAGAAAAUAGCAUGUUCAAAGGCCCUGAGAUAGGAACAGAGAAGUCAGUAAAUUUGGAACACUUGAGAAAGGGGGAGGAAACAAAGGGCUAUAUUGUACAGGCCUCGCUGGUCAAGUAAGCAUUUUGGGUUUUAUUCUAAGAGCAAUGGGAGCCAAUGAAAGGGCUCCCAAUCCAACAGGGAAAAUGCAGACACUUUCAGCUAAUUAAUUGUAUGGCUUUUUAGAGUAUUUCGUUGGCAUAGAAUAUUAUGCUUUACAAAAUGCUUUCAUGUCAUUAUUUUAUGUCUUCCUUGUAGCAGCCUCCUGACAGAGAUAGUCCACGUAUUAGCGUGGAUGGAAUCUGAGGCUCAGAGAUGUAAGCAACUUGUCCAGGGAGCUAGCCAGGGAGAAGGCAUCCACAUCCUGGUCACUUUACUUCUUAGGCCAGUCAUGCAGAGAAAGUACUGGCUCUGCAUGAGUUUGCCUUAGAAUCUAUGUCCUUGUUGGCAGAGAGGCCUUUUACUGAAGGGCUGUAGAGUGGGAAUAGUGGUCAAGAGCCUGCCAAACUGAAGUUCAAAUUCCACUGCAGCAACCAUUUACUAGCUAGGUGACCACUAGCAAGUUACUUAACCUCUCUGACCCUAAAGUUAUUUGGGUAACCUCAUAGAGUUACUAUAAAGAUUAAAUGAGAUCAUUCAAAAGGUGUAAAUGUCUGACACUUAGUAGGAGCUCAAUGGAUAUCAGUUUGAUUUUUUAGAGAUGACUCUUUCUUUUAUUUUGGAACCUUGGGAUAUACUGAAUGUGGAAGCUAAAUGAGGCUAAAAUCCCUUCAUACCAGGGUUCAUUGUAAAUGAAAUGGGUUGAAUCCUUGUGUGAUUUUCAGACAUUCAGGAUGGUACAGCGGAGGAAGAAGUGCUGGGGCCUUUCUCAAUAACAAUGCUGAUGCUCAAAGUAAAGACUUUACAGCUGGCACUUCUACUUUCUAUACUGUGUAGGGGACUUCCGCAGAUGAUAAUUCCCCUGGGAGCUAAGUGCAGGGGAGUAAUUGCCUAGGUGUUCUCCCAGGUGGCUAUUUUAUGGUGGCCUUGAGAGCCACAUUCAAGCAGCUGUCUAGGGGUCAAGACCCUGGAGAAACAGCACUUAAGAGUCUCAAAGUCCUGCUAAACAUCAGCUGAAAGGCCUUCCCAGAGAGUUGAUAUUAGGCUGAAGUACAGAGUCCUGGAGCACAGGGAAUAUCUGUGAUUCACUGGGUAUCCUUGACCAUUUGUGGGGCUUCUAAUUCAGGGCAGUAUAGAAACUUGUGAGAUCUGCCCUCCUCCCUAGGGUAUGAUGUUGUACUCUAAGUACUUUAUAUGGAGAAGAUAGGCCUUGAGUUUUCCUAAGGCUUAUCUUCUUGCAAUUAAUCUUUGCUCUUGAAGGUGGGCCUACCAAAAGUGGGUAGUAGGUUGAGUAGGGUCUCAGAGAAAGGUCUAAAUCAGUGACCUUCAAACAUGUCUACCCUGAAUCACGGGCUGAAAUAUAUUUUGCAUGAUGACCCAGCAUAUACACGUACACACAUCCGUCUGAAACAAAAUUUCAGUAAGCAGUACCUAUACUUACAUAUGUGAUGUACCUUGGUAUUUUAUUUUCUAUUUUAUUUCAUUAAAUUUAUUUCAUGACCCACUAAUGGAUUGCAACCUGCAUUUUGAGCAACAUAGGUCUUAUAGAUGAUGACUAAUCCUUGAAGGUGAUUGAAGAAUAUGUUAUCCACGAAUAACAAAAUUCAGAUGAACAAUGGGAAAAGCUGAACAGACUGGCUGUAUACUUUAAAUGCUCAUAGCAGGGGUGCCUUGGUGCUUCAGUCAGUUAAGCCUCCAACUCUUGGUUUUGGCUUUGGUCAUGAUUUCAUGGUCAUUAGAUUGAGCCCCACAUAGGGCUCCAUGCUCACAGCACAGAGCCUGCUUUGGUUUCUCUCUCCUCCCUCUCUCUCUGCUCCUCCCCUGCUUGCACUCUCUCUCUCUCAAAAUAAAUAAACAUUAAAAAAUAAUUUCUAGAAAUAAAAUAUUGAAAUAAAAACAACUCAAUGGAGUGGUUAAGCAGUUGAUAACACUGCUGAAGAAGGAAUUAGUAAAUUGGAAAGCGAAUUGGAAAGUACCCAAAAUGCCUCUCACAGAGUUACGGUCAUGGAAAAUAUGAAGAAGUUAAGACAUGAGAAAUAAAAUGAGAAGGUACAAUAGAGAUAUUAGAAAUUCCAGAAGAAGAGAACAGAGAGAAAAGAGAGAGAAGAAAUAUAAAGAUUCAUUGGUGGCAAAUUGACGGGUAUUGAAUGCAAAAAAAAAGUUCUCAGUAAGAAGGAACACAACUGGAUUCCCAAGCAGAAUAAAUAAAAAGAGAUUUACACCUAAAACCGUUAGUGACUCUGCAGAGCAUCUAAGAGAAAAAUCUUACAAGCUAGCAGCAUAAUGACAAUCAGGCAACAGGCUUCUUAUUAGGAGCAAUGGAAACCAGAAGAUAAAAAAUUAUAGCCUCAAAAUUCUGAAGGAAAAUAACUGUCAACUUAGAACCCAGGGGAGCCUGGGUGGCUUAGUCAGUUAAGCAUCUGACUCUUAACUUUGGCUCAGGUCAUGAUCUCGCGGUUCAUGUGUUCAGUCCCCUCGUAGGGCUCUGCAUAGACAGUGUAGAGCCUGCUUGCGCUCUGUCUCUGUCUCUCUCUCUCUCAAUAAAUAAACUUUAAAAAAAUUAUUUAAAAAAUUUUUAAAAAAGAAAAUUCACCAUCUUAUAACUACUAUAGGUAUAAUUAAUUGAUUCGAGCCAGAUAAUCAAUGGAUGCUAAAAUCCCUGGAUCAAAAAUAUUUAGAGGACAGGAUAUUCACAGUCUCAAAUCCUGCCCCUACCCACAUCAUAAUGUAUUACUCAGAGAGGGCAAAGGACACCUUUACAAUGGAGAAUCUUGAAUGAUGCUACCUUAAAAAUGAUCAAACGUAUCAUCACAAAUAAUGAGAGAAACUGAUAUCAUAUGCCUGUUGAUAUGAUGCACUGAGAAGGAAACAUCACCUACAUGGUAUUCCUGCCCAAAAUGUUUAGCCUGAAUUUAACCAUGAGGAAACCAUUAGAUAAAUCCAAAUUGAGAGACAAUCUGCUGCCUGGACUUUUCAAAACUCAUAAAAGACAAAAAACAAAAACAAAAACAAAAAAACCUUGGAGAACUAUUCCAGAAUAAAGGAGAUUAAAAAGACAAAAUAAAUACAAUGAAAGAUCUUACAUUGGGAUGAGGGAGGGGGAGUUAUAAAGAACAUUACUGGGAGAAUAGAAGGGUUUUGAAUAUGAACUCAUCUAUCAGGCAAAUGUUAAAUUUCCUGAAAAUGAUCAUUACACUGUGCAGUACAGACGAAUGUCCUUGUUCUUAAAAGAUAUCUGAAGUAUUUAGGGAUGAAGUGUCAUUUAUGUCAGCAACUAACACACAAGUGUUUUAGAACAAGAAAGGGAGAGUUAAACCAAAUGUGGAAAUAGUUACAAAUUGUUCAUCUGUAUCAGAGUAUAUGAGCAUUCAUUGCAACAGUGAACUUUGCUGUACAGUUUUAAAUUUGUCAAAAUAAAAAGCUGGAAGAAUAGAAGCAGUUUCAAAACAAAUACAACAACACCUAAUGAAAGAAUGGAUCUAGUCAAUGAUAGUAAAUGGCUGUUAAAACCAUUAAGUGAAAAGCUGAUGGAGGGAAAAAAGCUGAACGUGAACUUUAUAAUGGAUAGAUCCAGCUGACAGCAACUGAGCCCACUGAUUAAUCUUGAUAUUUAAAAAGAAAAACGACGAGGAAUUAUGUGGUCCUGACGUGAUGCAAUAGGAAGUUCACACCAACUGUAAAAUAUUCUAGCCAAAAAAUCAAAUCUGAAGCCAAGCAACUCUGGAAUCUACCAUUUUAAAGGGACAGAGAAACAUGUUAAAUGAUACCACAGGGGUGCUAUCAGCAAAAUCCAGAAUGAAGGAAAUUCCAUAGGACAAAUGGUCCACAGUUUCUUCAAUAAAUAAGUUGCAAGAAGAGGAAAGAAAGUAUAGCCUAGGAGUGCCUGCGUGGCUCAGAUGGUUGAGUAUCAAGCUCUUGAUCUCUGCUUAGGUCAUGAUCUCACCCGUGACAGGCUCUGUGCUGAUAGUGCAGAGGCUGCUUGGGAUUCUGUCUGUCCUCUCUCUCUGCCCCUCCCCCACCUCUUUCAAAAACAAAAUAAACAUUAAUAAAUUUUUUAAAAGAAAUUUUCAAAAAUUUAAAAAGAAAGUGUAGCGUAUAGAACUUAAUAGAUAUUUGAUGAGAGUAAGGAAUUAUAGUUAAUUUUUAUUUAAGUGAGAUAAUGCUAUUGAGGUAAUGCUAAAAGUGUCCUUAACUUUUAGAAAUGCAUGUUAAAUCAUCGACGGGUGAGGUGAUUUGAUGUCUGUGUCCAAAUAGUCCUGGCAGAUAGAAGAAAUAAGAUUGGCCCUAUGUUGAUAAUUAUUGAAACUAGUUGAUAGGUAGAAAGAUCUUUUAAGGGACGUCUGGGUGGCUCAACUGGGUGAGCAUCUCACUCUUGAUUUUGCCUCAGGUCAUGAUCUCAUGGUUCCUGAGUUUGAACUCCACAUCAGGCUCUGCGCUGAUAGCAGAGGGAUUCUCUCUCUCUCUCUCUCUCUCUCUGCCCCUCCCCCGCCCGUGCACCAUGCUUUCUCUCUAAAUAAAUGAAUAAACAUUUAAAUCUAUCUAUCUACCUAUCUAUCUAUGUAUCUAUGUAUAUUUAUAUUUGAAACCCUUCGGAAUAAACUUUUAACAAAUAAGUAAACCCAAGCCACUCCAAUAUUUUCCCAGUAUAUUCUCCCAAAGAAGGCUCUUCAGUGUUAGAAUGGUUGUUCCCUCACAAGUAGUACACAGGUUGAGACCAGAGAAAGAAUUCCAAGUGGAGGGUAAAACCCCAGGCCAUCAUGGGGGGCCAAACCCUCUUUCAAAUGGAGUGCUAUUUACUUAGGGGGUGAGGGGCUCUGUCUUGUGUGUCUUAAACCAGACUGUUCCCUGUUGGGUGGAAGCAACAUAUUACACCUGGACAGCUCCCUGCCCCAACCUAGGUUAAGAAAUGGGAUUUGUAAAGACUAGUAGGUUGGAUCCAAGGCAGAGGGAGGAGGUAAAAUUAGAUGUCUCUUUUUGUGAGGCUUGGAUGAGGUUGAGGUCUGAGAUCAGAGGUCAAGGAUGGGGCUGGAGGGAUGGGCGUGUCACUAAGGUGAGUGUGCUGUGCCAAGACCUAAGAGGCUUCGGGAGCUGACCUUCCUGGCCUUCAUGCCUUUCUCCUUGGUGCCAGUUCUCUGGGAUGGAGACAGAGCUCCUACCCAUCUCCCCCUCAACCCCCCUGCCCAUCUCCCUCCCACACCAUUCUCCUCUCUGUCCAGUUCUCUGAUCCAUUUCCAUUCUCUCCUUCCUCAAGCCCCUUCCUCAUCUCCAUUUGCCAUUCCCUGUCCUCCGCCCUGCCAGACACCCCAGUUCAGGGUCCAGGAGAAGGACAGCUUUUAUGUGGCUUGUAAAAUUCUAUUAUAUCUGUAUUCAAAACCUAGCAGCUGAGAAACACUGGUAAUAAGCGUGUUAUUAAGCGUGUAAAUACACUUCCACUCCAAGGCCUCUAAGGGGCAAGGGCUGGAUUCUCAGGCUGGGCAUCUCCCCUGCUUGUAAGUCCCUCCCCACCUGGCCUCCACCCCAGACUUGGACCUUGUGCCAAGGCCCAGGUCUCCUCCAGUCUCCAACCACCACCGUCCUGCAAAAUCCAGACUCUUGGAGAAAGGGGGCGGGGGAAGGGGCCGAAGAAAAAAAACAUUAGGAAAAAAACUCCCACCCAGAGAGCAUUCUUUCUGCAGCACUCAGGAAAAAGGAUGUCUCACAGGGGACGGGAAGGCGAAAUUUUUUCACAUCCAAAUGGAUUGCAAUUUCCCUCCAUUUAGCACCUGAAGGUAAUUAGCUCGAAGAGACUGCCGAGUGCGAAACACGUUCACGGAACAUUAACUCUCACACAUUCUCCAGUUGCAGGGAAUUAAUAGGAAAGAUUAAAGUUUAAAGAGAGCAAAAUGCCAUUACCUCGCCAGCCACCUCUCUCCGCGGCAGUCUCCAGCCCCCGAAAACCUUCGGCCAGUGCUUGGGCCGGGGCUCCGGUCUCAGCCUCCAGCCUGGCUGGCUGGGGCAUCUGGGUGUGCCUCACCAAGAAGGCUAGCAUGUGCUGAUGUGCACGCACGUGUGCAAAACAGGGCAGCUCUGCAAGGCCAGUGUGGCCCCCCUCCCAUCCACGAGAAGUUUGGGGUAGACAGGGCAGGUGUGUUCUCAUAGGCUGACUCCUGGCAUUGGUGUGUAUGGUGGCCCUGGGCGGGGGCGGAUGGGGGAGAUACUAGGAAGGGUUAUUAGCUUGGGCGUGCCCUGUGAUUUCGGUGCAGAGGGCGAGAUCUGGCAGCUUGGCUGGCAAUAGAGAAAUGGGGGGUGUCAGUCCCACCUUGGGUGUAUAGAGAGCCACUGGGUGAAGUGAUGGAGAGAGUUGCUUCCACUCUUGUGCGGCACGCAGGAGCCACAAAGAUACGUGUGCAUGCAUACGCAGGCUCCCACGACCACACACAGACGGCCUUUGUCACUCUGCUUUUUUCAAAGUUUAUGUAGGCUUCAAAUUGGAAAGGUUUCUGUGUUGCUUCAGUAUUUUAGGAAAAGAUGAAAGACAGAGAGAGGGAGACAGAGAGAGAGUGGGGGAGAGAGAGAGUGAGGGAGAGAGAGAGGGGCAGAGGCAGGCAGGAGAGAGAGAGCGCGAGAUGAAAUUGAGACAUGGAAGAAUUUAUUGCCCAGAAAAUUCCAUUCUGCUAUCUGAUUCAAAAAGUCCAGUCCCCCCAGCUUCGGAAAAUCUAUUUUCCACAUUUUAAUACCCUGCAGAACAGUCCUCAUAACUCAUCCGAGUGUGUUAAGCACAGUUUUAUUAGAUCUGAAACAAAUUUUGGUGGGGAGAUACUAUAGGUCAUUAACCAUGGAGUAAUUUUAUCCUUGUUUCCCUAAUGAUGCCAUAAUGGCGAGCGAAUUUCUUAACUAAAGACCAAAGAACAUUUUGAAGGUCAGUUUCAUCUGUGAGCUCCUUCAAGCGCUUCUCAGAGAAGAUUGGAAAACUCGCCGAUUUUUUGAAGAGUCAUUAAUAAUGUGAAAGCUGAAAGCACCCUCCAUUUGCGUUCCUGCUUUUUACCUUUUAAUUUUAUAUCGUCCCCGCUCAGAGCCCCGCUCCCACUCCCUCACCCUCCUCUGGACCUCCCGCCUGCCUACCCACCCCACGCAGGGAACAAGGCUGCCCCAUACCAGGUACCAGGCUAGCUGUGAGGGGCAGACAGGGGCUGCAGGAGGGGAGGCAGAAGAGCUAGGGAGGCCAGGGCCCCAAAGAGAUGGGGGCCUUUGCUAAAUUCCCAGAAUGUGGUGUACUGUGUGAGGGUAUUGUUAUAGUCAUGGUACACGUGUGCAUGUGUGCAUGUGUGCAAAUGUGCAGUGCAGGGGACUGGGGUCUCUGGAUUGCAUGCUGGUUGUGCGCACACAUGCUAGGGACCAAUGGGGACUUAGUAGUCUCUAUAGGUGGGUGCCCUCUGUUGGACGCAGGUGGGGAAAGAGAACUGGAAACCAGCACUGGGUCCAGUGGCUUGGGCAGUGGGUCAGCUGGGGGACUUGAGGUAUCUCCCAACAGAGAUGGACAACACGUGCAAGGCAUGAAACAAUUGAUAGCACAUUGUGAGCCCUGAUUACAAUGUGUGCACAUGAGCGUAUAUGUCCUGGGGGUGGUGAGGUCAUCAAGGCAAGAGCCCCAAGGGCCCUCUCUACUGGCAAAUAUUUAGACACUUGAAACAGUGACCAUUGUCUGCCCAUCCCUCACUCCUUGGACCACUCACUCCUUGCUCCCCAGGCCUGGAGCCCUUCAUUUGCCCACUUUACUCCCUCCUAAUCUCCAGUCUCUGGCUCCUUGGACCCCCCCCCCCCCGCCUCCCAGUUCCACCCCUUCCCCUGAACACUCCUCCCCCCAGCUCCUCACCUAUCUGAUGGCUAUCAUUGCAGGGUGCCCAGCCAGGAGCCGGGGUGGGACAGCAUCUCUGUGUGUGUGCAGGUUUGGGGAGGAGGGGGCGGUGUGGUGACACUCCAUGCUCCCAGAUGUGGUGGCAGCGAUAAUUCCAAUUUUAUGCCUUUGUUAUGGCUUUAAUCACUUUCUUUAUGCGUUUUGUUCCAGCGAUCAGGGAGAGACACCUGAUAGGCAAAGAGGAUACCAGGGGAACCAUUUUUAUUUGGAAUGUGGUGAGAAGUCUAAUUAGAAUCUGAAUUCUGCUGAGCCUUGAAAUGGCCAGCACUUUAUCCUGAUCGCCUUAGAUAUUGUUUCGAGUCAAUCAUCUGUCAUGGUGCGGCAGGAGAGCCUCUCCCUUCACACCGCACCCCUCCCGCCACGGGGCCAGCCCAGGCACACUGGGGGAGGGGAGGCUCAGGCUUCCGCCCUGCCCUCGUAGGGAUCUGUGCCUCCUUCUGGGGAGGGGGGGCUGUUUGGUAUAGCCAACCCUCCAUUGGUGAGGGCUGUCUUUGCUGGGUGCUGAGUUUCAGCUCAUGGGGGUGGAGAGAGGGGCUGCAGGAAGAGGGGCCUGAGAGGCCUGUAUUAGAAUUAGGAAAUAUUGAGGUGAGGCCAAGCUAGUCUGGGGCACCUCCUAAAUGCUCUCAGUACACUGGCCACCCCACCUCCUAUCAAUGGCUCACAGCGACUCUCCUCUCUUUACUGUCCCCUGGACAUAUUGUAUCUCUGCCACCUGCUCACUGUCCCUCAAACUCACUGCUCCCAUUGCCAACCCCUCCCUGACCAACACUUGCCACACAUUCAGCUCCUGGUCUCCGACUUUCCUCCCUCCAGUCCUGCCGCUGGACCACCAAUCCGGCUUGUUCUGCCAUCUGUCGAGUCCCUAGACUGGUUCCACCUCCUCCAGAAAGCCUUCCCUGACUACCUGAACCCACACAGGUGAGCUCGAGAGGUGGACAGUUACAACACAGGCCCCCAUCUGGCGAUGGCCGCGCUGACUGCCGACACUCCUCCCACAAGACCCCGCUCCAUUUAUCUUUCUCCUGCCUUCAGAUGAUUUCCAGUUGUCCUCUCUCUUUUUCUAAACUGUUUUGGUGUGUGUGUGUGUGUGUGUGUGUGUGUGUGUGUGUGUGUGUGUGUCCUAAAUCUGCUCAAACCCUUUUUGAGCAUAGCAAAAUGUAAAGUAGAAAUAAAUAUUACUCUGAAUGAUAAUUUCACCUCCCCAAUCACAUCUUGUGCUCCCAAAGUCUGACCAUUUCUUCCCUGUAUCCUGCCUUUUCCACUAACUAUAAGCACACAGGACCAGGCACAGAGUGGGGAGCUGUGUAUUGCCUCCAGAAGUCAGAGAUUCACGGAAGCUUUCUGCUUCCUGCUUCCCCUCAUACAUAACCCCCAAUACAUACCUACUAUGUGACAGAUGUAGGCAUAGUUGGGGGACUAUUAGUAGCCAAAUGAAGUGCCAUUUCUGGCAGGAAAGAGGAGCAUGUGCUCUAUGAAUAAUGUUUCCAUGGGAGAUGGCCAAUGUGGGUCCUUUUUAGAUGGUUGGGGCACUCAGUGGCCCUCUAGCCACUUAGUGUGCCCCAUAAAGCAGAAUGUCCUCAUUGAUGUCAGUAUCACUGGGCCUCCUGGAUGGUCACUGCCCUCUUGAGAUUAUCUAUGUAGCCAGGGUACCUUAUGUAUGGUCCAAGGGGCAGUGUGACCAGAUGCUGCCAUAGAAAAAUACAGACUCAGAGGGUCCCCAGAGUACCCUUCUCAAUCUGCUCACUUCCCCAUCCCUAUCUGGACCCAAGCUUGAAUGCAAUCCUGACUCAUUUUAUUUGAGGAUGGUCUCUUUCCCUCCUUGCACCUCAGUUCUUCCUGGUCCCUGAGCUGUGGGCAAGGAGUGGGGAUGGCACUAACCAUAGUCCAGGAAAUCAUGGGGCUUGUUGGGAGACGGUUCUCUGGAAUACAUUGCCAGGACUCUAUUCCUUUCUCCCUCCCAGCAGCCCCUAUCCGGAGGCAUGGCUGUACUGACACCACACUGAUGGAUGGAGAGUGAAGAGAUACAGGGAGAUGGAGAAGGAAUCCAUAGCCAGGGGUCCUCAUUUAUAGGGGAAGGCACGACGGUGGCCGGAGGGACUUAGGAGCAAGCUUCCUAGUGGGAAAUUGCAAGCUGCCAUUAGCGUUUAGGUACAAGUUAAUAUAUCUGAGGGAGUGUGUGUGUGUGUGUGUGUGUGUGCGUGCGCGCACGCGCGCGCGCGCACACACACACACACACACCCGCAUAUGAUGGAGGGUCAGUAGGUGAGGGGUUACGGUCCCUAUAGGGAAGAAGCAGAACGCUGGCACACUUGGUCUGCCCAUAGAGAAGGGUGGGAGUUCAAGGGUGGCUCAUGCUACAACUACUGUUUCUCCAUCUAUACAAAUAGUGGGGAGAUGGAGCUCCUGGCCCAGGGAGCACAUGUGUUGGGUGAGGGUGGCGGGCGGGAGGACAGAGAUGCCAAAGCUACUAAAGGCCUAGUCUCUUCCCAUCUCAGACACCCUCAAGGCACUGUCCUCUCUCUACAUCCAGAGCUCGGCUGCAGUGGGGGGAGAUGAAAAGGAGGAGAAACUGUUGGAUAAAAAGAAAUUCAAAAAAAAAAAAGUAAUCUCUCCCAAAUGUAGCCACAGUGCAAAGCUCUCCACUGUUCUCUCCAGUCUCUCGGGAGAUCUCAGUCACUUGGGAACUUGCAGCUGUCACCCCUGAGCAGGUGGGAGAGCCAAACUCUGGGAAGAUGAAGUUCUCCUCAAGAGAAAUGAAAACGUGGGUCUACACAAAAACUUGUACAACAAUGGUUGGGGCAGUAUUUUUCAUAAUGGCUCAAAAGUGGAAAGAACCCAAAUGUCCAUCAACUGGUGAAUACGUAAAUAAAAUGUAGUAUAUCCAUA